CAACUAGUCCACCUACAGGUAAACAACUAGUCCACCUACAGGUAAACAACUAGUCCACCUACAGGUAAACAACUAGUCCACCUACAGGUAAUCAUGUCAACAACUAGUCCACCUACAGGUGAACAACACACCCCUGACAGGGCAUUCAGCAUUCACCUGUUGACACACUGAUGUCAACAUCAGCACAGUUGGAGAAACUGGAGAGAACAUGGCACAUCCACCAGGCAUGUUCAGGCAUAUUUAACAAGACACUCCAUCCACAGAUAACUUUACACAACACAUAACCACUAAUAACCCGUUCUGGCUUCAUGUACAGGGUAGAGGACAGUGAGGCAAUGGUAGUGAGAGAGAGAGAGAAGGAAAAGAGAGUGUGUGUAGCGUCCAGGCUAAAGUGCAUGUAUCAGAUGAGUCUCUCCUCCUUGGGCAGGGGCAGGCCUGGUCUCUCAGCCCCCCGUGGUCCGGUCUGUUUGCUCUCCUCCGCACUGGGCCGAUACAUUCCCUCCAUCCUUCUCUUCUUCCUGAUCACACAGCCCAUCAGGACCAGGGCCAGGCACAGCAGUAGGGCCAGGCCUGGGACUAACACAGACCACAACCCCCACGACGGCCUUGGUAACGACAACACCAUUUCCAUGACGACGGGCCCUGAGUCAGAGAGAGAGGAGGAGGAUGACAGAGAGAAGCAGGUACACAGGCAGACAGAUACACAGACCGUAGGCAGACAGAUACACAGACCGUAGGCAGACAGAUACAUAGACCGUAGGCAGACAGAUACACAGACCGUAGGUAGACAGAGACACAGACCGUAGGUAGACAGAUGUCUCACUCACCUGAGGGUUAGAGGAGACACUGCUGGUCUCUGCUCUCACAUCUGGACCAAUGGGGACACAGCAGCCAGACUGCCAGUGAGGGGUGCCUGUCUCUAGAGAGAGAGUGUAGGAGAGCAGCCAUGAGCCAGGCCGGUGAAUUCAGCCCCUUUGAGGCAGUGUGUCUGUCCAAGUCUACGGAACACAUCAGCAUAGAAACUAUGGCUGUGUUCGAUCCAAACCGCAAUGUAUCAUGGGUCAAUUCUGACCGACUGACUGAUCUACAAAUAAUAUUGAGUAGUUAUUUGUGAUCCAAGGUGAUUUGUAGAUUGGUCAGUCUCGACAGUCGGCUGCAAUGUCAAAAGUGUCCAGAGACAGUCUGAAACAACGUCUCUAAACCGGGUCCAGAUACAGUCUGAAACAACGUCUCUAAACCGGGUCCAGAUACAGUCUAAAACAGUGUCUCUAAACCUGGUCCAGAUACAGUCUAAAACAGUGUCUCUAAACCUGGUCCAGAUACAGUCUAAAACAGUGUCUCUAAACCAGGUCCAGAGACAGUCUAAAACAGUGUCUCUAAACCUGGUCCAGAUACAGUCUAAAACAGUGUCUCUAAACCAGGUCCAGAUACAGUCUGAAACAGUGUCUCUAAACCAGGUCCAGAGACAGUCUAAAACAGUGUCUCUAAACCAGGUCCAGAAAGUGUCUCUAAACCAGGUACAGUCUAAAACAGUGUCUCUAAACCUGGUCCAGAUACAGUCUAAAACAGUGUCUCUAAACCAGGUCCAGAUACAGUCUGAAACAGUGUCUCUAAACUGGGUCCAGAGACUAGAGGUCGGCCCAUUAAUUAGGGCUGUAAUCAACAUUUUUAGACACCCAUUACAUUGCUCUCCACGAGGAGGCUGCAUGGCAGGCUGACCACCUGUUACGCGAGGGCAGCUAGGAGCCAAGGUAAUGUUAACAUAAAUCACUAGUUAACUACACAUGGUUGAUGAUAUUACUAGUUUAUCUAGCUUGUCCUGCGUUGCAUAUAAUCAAUGUGGUGCCUGUUCAUUUAUCAUCGAAUCACAGCCUACUUCACCAAACGGGUGAUAAUUUAUUAACAAGAGCAUUUGCGAAAAAAAGUAUACCUAAAUAUACCUAACAAUAAACAUCAAUGCCUUUCUUAAAAUCAAUACACAAGUAUAUAUUUUUAAACCUGCAUAUUUAGUUAAUAUUGCCUGCUAACAUUAAUUUAUUUUAACUAGGGAAAUUGUGUCACUUAUCCUGCGUUCUGUGUAGGCAGUCAGGGUAUAUGCAGCAGUUUGGGCCGCCUGGCUCGUUGCGAACUGUGUGAAGACCAUUUAGUCCUAACAAAGACUGUAAUUAAUUUGCCAGAAUUGUACAUAAUUAUGACAUAACAUUGAAGGUUGUAACAGCAUUAUUUACACUUAGGGAUGCCGCUGUUCGAUAAAAUGCAGAACGGUUCCGUAUUUCACUGAAAGAAUAAACGUUCUGUUUUCGAAAUGAUAGUGUCCGGAUUUGACCAUAUUAAUGACUUAAGGCUCGCAUUUCUGUGUGUUUAUUAUAUUAUAAAGUCUAUGAUUUGAUAGAGCAGUCUGACUGAGCGGUGGUAGGCACCAGCAGGCUCGUAAGCAUUAAUUCUAACAGCACUUUCCUGCAUUUGAAAGCAGCUCGUCGCUGUGCAUUGCACUGUUUAUGACUUCAAGCCUAUCAACUCCCCAUUAUUUAUUUGAGAUCAAAUUGAUUUUAUUUAUGUAUUAUAUU
ensembl:lncRNA